rnacentral:rRNA from 1 species
CUUGACUGUAUCCUGGAAUUGGGUUCGGGCUUUUCUUGCGCAGCCUAGGUGGGAGGCUAUGAAGAUUUCCUUCCGGGGACGUUGGAACCAUCAGUGAGAGACCACUCUGGAGAGGCUAGAAUCCUAAUGGUGAUCCUUGAAUCAGGACACUUGACAGUUUCAGGUGGGCAGUUUUUCUGGGGCGGAAGCCUCAAUACCCUAUGGGGGCUGCUCAGUCGAGAGAUUGAGUAUAAACAAAGCUAAAUUGCUAAGAUUUCAUUUUUCGAAAAAUUAGCAAGGAACUUAAAAAAAGCAAAAGGAAAAACGAACUUUUCAUAAAACUUUUUGAAGUAUAUGAAAAAACAUAUAUGCAUAAAGGGUA